CGCUAAGAAGCUAAACAGCGCUAGCCUUUUAAGCUAGAGAUUGGGAGAUCGCCCUCCCCUGAGCGA
rnacentral:tRNA from 1 species